GUUUCACAUUCACACAGAUAAAACAUGAGCACACCACAUCCUAUUAGCAAUCACAAAACCGCAGCCAGUUAUUAAAAAAUGAUAUUAGAAAAGGAAAAUUGGCCGGAACGUUUACUUUGAAAAAUUAGAGUGUUCAAAGCAGGCUUUCGAGCCUGGAUAAUGGUGCAUAGAAUAAUGGAAUGGGACCUUGGUUCUAUUUUGUUGGUUUUCGGAGCGCGAGGUAAUGGUUAAGAGGGACAGACGGGGGCAUUCGUACUGUGCCGUUAAAGGUGAAAUUCUUGGAUCGGCGCAAGACGAACGACUGCGAAAGCAUUUGCCAAGAAUGUUUUCUUUAAUC
rnacentral:ncRNA from 1 species